rnacentral:rRNA from 1 species
UACGUAGGGUGCGAGCGUUAAUCGGAAUUACUGGGCGUAAAGAGUGUGCAGGUGGUCGCGCAAGUCGAGUGUGAAAUCCCCGGGCUUAACUUGGGAAUUGCGCUCGAAACUACGUGGCUCGAGUGUGGCAGAGGAAGGUGGAAUUCCACGUGUAGCGGUGAAAUGCGUAGAGAUGUGGAGGAACACCGAUGGCGAAGGCAGCCUUCUGGGCCAGCACUGACGCUCAUGCACGAAAGCGUGGGGAGCAAACAGG